rnacentral:tRNA from 1 species
GAAGGUAUAGCUCAGUGGUAGAGUGCGUGCUUAGCAUGCAUGACAUCCUGGGUUCAAUCCCCAGUACCUCCA